GUCUUGACUUAAAGCUGCCUCAUGAGAGUCUACUUUUGCCAAGUACUGAGAAGUGGUUCCACUGGCCUAUCCACCUCCCACCUCGUUUCAGAGGCCUAAACUUUGGAAUGGAUAGACUAAGCACAUCAGUUUGUUUGGGGAAGACUAGAAAGCCAGAAAUAGAGACGAGAAUACAGAACUCGGGCCCAGGGAAAUGGCAGAACCACAGGAGUGGACCAGAGCCUAUGCCUAUAACCCAAAGCCUGUCAACAAAUAAUCACAUCGUGGCAUGGGUGAG
rnacentral:lncRNA from 1 species